UGGUCCCCUUCCCACAAUUCCGUUCGCGCACUCUCUACAUUGAGGUCAGGCAUCGGUUGAUUCACUGUUAGACGUUGCGCAAUUUCAAAAUGGAGGACAAAGCUUUUCCAUCGUUCAUUGCAUUUCAUAAAAUUUACCAGGAUACUGAAAACAUUUAAUCCCCUGUAUUAAAGACAUGAUGGUCAGCCAAAAGAGAGCAUUGAAGCCCAACAGGAACAACCCCUCUACAGCUUACAGUUUAAACUUGAAGAGUAAUUCGUUUAAAUUAAUCUUGCACACCUUAAAAUGUUUGUCCUUUUCUCCAAGUCAUUGCGUGGUUACAAUCUUAUUGUAAUUACAAAUGAACAGAAAACAAUGAUAUAACCGUGAAACAGAUUUAUCAGUUCAAAUGAUAUUAGCUAUAAGGAGAGUAAGUCAAAUUAAUUAUAAAUUAUUUUACAGAUUUACAAAAGGAAUAAUAUGCAAAUUAAUAUGGUGUAUAUCAGGACUCAAAAAGCAAGUCAAAGUUCAUACAGUUAAACUUGUUUAAUACAAAUAUGCGAUGAUGGAUAUUGUGAAUUCACACAAUAGAGAAGUUAUCUUGUAUUCUCAGCAAUAUAAAUUAAGCAAAUUCCUUAUAUAUAAUGAAUAAAAUGGAUGUAAGGAAUUUUAAAAGGAUAUAGGAUGUAAUUUCUGUAAAACCGAGUUUUACUGUAUUAGGUAAUGCUCUUCGCUUUAUGUUCAGUUUACUAUAUUCUGUUUAUAGGUCUGAAGUGUACCAGUGUACCAGUUUCUCUUUGACCUGUGCCAACUCUGGUAACCCCGCCUUUGUCAAGGACACGUGUACUUGUCGCUGUCCCGAGGGUCUGGAUCUCUAUACCGGAUGUCCGACUCAUUUUGAUGGGGGAUCGAAUGAUUUCAACAAAAUGGCCAUCUGACACCUUUACCAGAUUAAGUACCUGGAUACAUGUAACUGGCUGUUCCAGUGGGUUUUAUGAAGGCAGUUUUACACAUCAUAUUAAAGACACCAGGAUGGACCACACAAGUUCCACAUUUAAUGCUGACAUCAUUUCAAAGCCCACCUUUACAUUUUACAAAUUUUGUGCUAAGAAGAAAACGGAAGAAAAUAGAAUUUCGCCAAGCUGGCCUGCAGGAAAAUAUUGUAUCUACCGCCAAGGAGGGGUUUUUCCCAUUGGCUUCAGUGGUGGAUAUAUACAGUAUGAUGACACCAUGAAUCCAUAGCAUUCAGAUAUUCUCGGCAUUCUUCCUGAGGUGACUUCACGGCCGACAGAGGUUCUAUUUCUGUUGUUGCAGUGACUGAUCUACAUCAUCUGGUUAUCCUACCAUCAAAGGAGCCGUUUAUCUUAUUUCUGGACACCUCUGCUUGACAGAAUGCAAAGUUUUGAUGACAAUGCAGAGUCAAGAUAUUGUGACAAAGACAUGCCAGCUUGAAGAAGACCAUCCAGUGAUCAUGGUGUUCCACUCAAUUUUUCAGAAUUAUGUGUCAGAUUGAAAUUCAUAUUAUGGUGCAAAAAGCAAUCAGGACAUUCUUCUGGAUCUAGUAAGUGUUUGUAAAUAGGAAUGAAAAAGAUUUUACUCUUCCCUUGUAUACUUCAGAUUGGAACCUGAAAAUGAGAAAUGACCAUGUAAAUGCAUUUUUUUAAAUUGGUCCAAAGUAUUGACAGAACCAAAGAAUACCUGAUAGUCUGCAAAUGGAGUGAUCAUUCUGAUUCAUUGGAUGAACCAGGCAACACUGAUUAUCUCAAGAAAUUUUAGGCUAAAGACUCCAUCUU